rnacentral:rRNA from 1 species
GACGAACGCUGGCGGCGUGCUUAACACAUGCAAGUCGAACGGGAUCCAUGUUGUCGCAAUACUUCGGAAGAUCUAGUAGCGAACGGGUGAGGAACACGUGAGAAACCUGCCCCGAACUUCGGGAUAACAGUGGGAAACGACUGCUAAUCCCGAAAACCUCUGCGAAGUGGCAUCACUAUGCAAAGAAAGAAUUUCGGUUCGGGAGGUUCUCGCGGCCUAUCAGCUAGUUGGUGGAGUAACGGCCUACCAAGGCAUCGACGGGUCGCUGGUCUGAGAGGAUGAUCAGCCAGACUGGGACUGAGAAACGGGACAGAUUCCUACGGAGGGCAGCAGUGUGGAAUAUUGCACAAUGGGCGCAAGCCUGAUGCAGCGACGCCGCGUGAGGGAUGACGGCCUUCGGGUUGUAAACCUCUUUCAGCACCGACGAAGCGCAAGUGACGGUAGGUGUAGAAGAAGGACCGGCCAACUACGUGCCAGCCGCCGCCGUAA